UACUCCCUCCGAUCCAUAUUAUUUGCCGCUGAUUUAGUGCAACUUUGUACUAAAUCAGCGACAACUAAUAUGGAUAGGAGGGAGUA